rnacentral:rRNA from 1 species
GGAUCCAGACUUUGAUUCUGGCUCAGGAUGAACGCUGGCGGCAUGCCUAAGACGUGCAAGUCGAACGAAGAAGCCCAAUGAAGAUUGAGUGCUUGCACGAGAUUGGAACUGGACACUUCUUAGUGGCAGACGGGUGAGUAACACGUGGGUAAUCUACCUCAGAGACUGGGAUAACGUUUGGAAACGAACGCUAAUACCGGAUAAAUCAUAUUUGGAUAACCAGAUAUGCUAAAAGGAGCUACGGCUUCACUUUGAGAUGAGCUUGCGGUGUAUUAGCUAGUUGGUGAGGUAAUGGCUCACCAAGGCAACGAUGCAUAUCCGAGCUGAGAGGCUGAUCGGACACACUGGGACUGAGACACGGCCCAGACUCCUACGGGAGACAGCAGUUAGGAAUAUUCGUCAAUGGAGGAAACUCUGAACGAGCAAUGCCGCGUGAGUGAUGAAGGUCUUACAGAUUGUAAAACUCUGUUGUAAAGGAAGAAAUCUUAUUAUAGGAAAUGAUAAUAAGUUGACGGUACUUUUCCAGAAAGCCCCGGCUAACUACGUGCCAGCAGCCGCGGUAAUACGUAGGGGGCGAGCGUUAUCCGGAUUUAUUGGGCGUAAAGCGUGUGUAGGCGGUUUAUUAAGUCUAAGAUUAAAGCCCGAGGCUUAACCUCGGUUUGUUUUAGAAACUGGUAGACUUGAGUGUGGUAGAGGCAAGUGGAAUUUCUAGUGUAGCGGUUAAAUGCGUAGAUAUUAGAAGGAACACCAGUGGCGAAGGCGGCUUGCUGGGCCAUUACUGACGCUGAGACACGAAAGCGUGGGGAGCAAAUAGGAUUAGAUACCCUAGUAGUCCACGCUGUAAACGAUGAGUACUAAGUGUC